CUUGAGCGAACCGAUCCGCAGCGGGUCGCCCGUGCGGCCGGUGCCGUAGGCGGCGAUGAGCGCCUGCGCCUC
rnacentral:antisense_RNA from 1 species